GGAGGGGCUAGAGGUUGAAUCAAUCACCAAGGGCUGAUGAUGUAAUUAAUCCUGACUAUGUAAUGAAGCAUCCAUAAAAUCCCAGUAGUCUGGGGUUUGGAGAGCUUCUGGUUGGAGAUGUGCGGGAGAUGGGUGCACUCAUAGUUUGUCCCAUGCUUCUCUUCCAUCUGACUGUUCCUGAGUUGGAUUCUUUAAUAAUCAAUUGGUCAUCUAGUAACUAAAAUGUUUCUGAGUUCUGUAAACUGCUCUAGCAAAUGAACCAAACUCCCAAAGAAGAUCUGAUUUACAGCCAUCUGGUCAUGACAACCUGGACUUGCAAUUAGUGUCUGAAAUUGGGGGUGGGGAAGGCUUGUAGGACUGAGCCCUCAACGCAUGGGAAAUGAUGCUGUCUCCAGGUAGACUAGGACCUGCCUGGUGUUAGAGAAUCACUGAUGGCAGAACCGCCUCCUGUCCGCCUUCCCCACACGCCGGCAUUGGGUUCAGGAAAGUUAAGAGCAUCAUCCGGCUCUGACUCUUGAAUGAAGUGUGGAGUUUUUAACGACUGUCAUGUAAAAUAGAUGAGAGAAUCGAUCAGCUGAGAUGGACCCAAACACAAGAAGACAACACAUUCCUAACCAGUUUGGAAAAUCCCUCCAGCAGGAGGGCGGGAAACCCUGUCUUUCUUCAACAUUCCAGCACCUUUUGCACCAGCUCCUAACUCAGCUAACUUGGGUGAUUCUUGUCA